AUUGAACGCUGGCGGCAGGCCUAACACAUGCAAGUCGAACGGUAACAGGAAGAAGCUUGCUUCUUUGCUGACGAGUGGCGGACGGGUGAGUAAUGUCUGGGAAACUGCCUGAUGGAGGGGGAUAACUACUGGAAACGUUAGCUAAUACCGCAUAACGUCGCAAGACCAAAGAGGGGGACCUUCGGGCCUCUUGCCAUCGGAUGUGCCCAGAUGGGAUUAGCUAGUAGGUGGGGUAACGGCUCACCUAGGCGACGAUCCCUAGCUGAUCUGAGAGGAUGACCAGCAACACUGGAACUGAAACACGGUCCAGACUCCUACGGGAGGCAGCAGUGGGGAAUAUUGCACAAUGGGCGCAAGCCUGAUGCAGCCAUGCCGCGUGUAUGAAGAAGGACUUCGGGUUGUAAAGUACUUUCAGCGGGGAGGAAGGGAGUAAAGUUAAUACCUUUGCUCAUUGACGUUACCCGCAGAAGAAGCACCGGCUAACUCCGUG
rnacentral:rRNA from 1 species